rnacentral:tRNA from 1 species
UGGCUCAGACGGUAAAGCAUCUGCCUGCAGUGCAGGAGACCCGGGUUCGAGCCCUGG